CAUGAUAUAGCAGUAUUGUUACAACCUUGUGUCGUCAACCUUGUAACAUUCUUGUUUAUCGUGACUGUAUCAGACUUAUUAGAACAACCUUGUGACAAGUCUGAUAAUAUCAACAAGGUUGUUACAACAAUUGGGAACAAGCAAUGCGAAGACAACUUGUUGACAGCUUGUGAACAGAUUUGUAACAACUUGUUUGCAGACUUGUAACAACUUGUGCGUUUUUACGUGUGU